rnacentral:rRNA from 1 species
UUCCCGGGUCUUGUACACACCGCCCGUCACACCACGAAAGUCGGCAAUACCCGAAGCCGGUGGCCUAACCCGCAAGGGAGGGAGCCGUCGAAGGUAGGGUUGAUGAGUUGGGGUG